rnacentral:rRNA from 1 species
UACAGGGGGGGCAAGCGUUGUUCGGAAUUACUGGGCGUAAAGGGCUCGUAGGCGGCCAACUAAGUCACACGUGAAAUCCCCAGGCUUAACCUGGGAACUGCGUGUGAUACUGGAUGGCUUGAGAUUGGGAGAGGGAUGCGGAAUUCCAGGUGUAGCGGUGAAAUGCGUAGAUAUCUGGAGGAACACCGGUGGCGAAGGCGGCAUCCUGGACCAACACUGACGCUGAGGAGCGAAAGCCAGGGGAGCAAACGGG